rnacentral:rRNA from 1 species
GAUGAACGCUGGCGGCGUGCCUAAUACAUGCGAGUCGAGCGAACAGACGAGGAGCUUGCUCCCCUGACGUUAGCGGCGGACGGGUGAGUAACACGUGGAUAACCUACCUAUAAGACUGGGAUAACUUCGGGAAACCGGAGCUAAUACCGGAUAACAUGUUGAACCGCAUGGUUCAACAGUGAAAGACGGUCUUGCUGUCACUUAUAGAUGGAUCCGCGCCGCAUUAGCUAGUUGGUAAGGUAACGGCUUACCAAGGCAACGAUGCGUAGCCGACCUGAGAGGGUGAUCGGCCACACUGGAACUGAGACACGGUCCAGACUCCUACGGGAGGCAGCAGUAGGGAAUCUUCCGCAAUGGGCGAAAUCCUGACGGAGCAACGCCGCGUGAGUGAAGAAGGUCUUCGGAUCGUAAAACUCUGUUAUUAGGGAAGAACAAAUGUGUAAGUAACUAUGCACGUCUUGACGGUACCUAAUCAGAAAGCCACGGCUAACUACGUG